rnacentral:rRNA from 1 species
ACUCAAAGGAAUAGACGGGGGCCCGCACAAGCGGUGGAGCAUGUGGUUCAAUUCGACGCAACGCGAAGAACCUUACCAGCUCUUGACAUGCCCGGUAUGGGGUCGAGAAAUCGGCUCCUUCAGUUCGGCUGGCCGGUGCACAGGUGCUGCAUGGCUGUCGUCAGCUCGUGUCGUGAGAUGUUGGGUUAAGUCCCGCAACGAGCGCAACCCUCACCUUCAGUUGCCAUCAGGUUAAGCUGGGCACUCUGAAGGAACUGCCGGUGACAAGCCGGAGGAAGGCGGGGAUGACGUCAAGUCCUCAUGGCCUUUAUGGGCUGGGCUACACACGUGCUACAAUGGCGGUGACAGUGGGAUGCGAAGGCGCAAGCCUUGGCCAAUCUCAAAAAGCCGUCUCAGUUCGGAUUGUCCUCUGCAACUCGAGGGCAUGAAGCUGGAAUCGCUAGUAAUCGCGGAUCAGCACGCCGCGGUGAAUACGUUCCCGGGCCUUGUACACACCGCCCGU